rnacentral:misc_RNA from 1 species
AACGGUCUAUACCUGCGGUACCUGCGGAGGGAUCAUUACCGAGUUAUCAACUCCCAAACCCCUGUGAACAUACCCGAACGUUGCCUCGGCGGGACCGCCCCGGCGCCCCUAGCGGCCCGGAACCAGGCGCCCGCCGGAGGACCCAAACUCUUGCUUUAAACAGUGGCAUACUCUCUGAGUCUCACAAACAAAAAAUAAAUCAAAACUUUCAACAACGGAUCUCUAGAUCGGAAGAGCACA